rnacentral:rRNA from 1 species
AUUGAACGCUGGCGGCAGGCCUAACACAUGCAAGUCGAGCGGAUGAAGGGAGCUUGCUCCUGGAUUCAGCGGCGGACGGGUGAGUAAUGCCUAGGAAUCUGCCUGGUAGUGGGGGAUAACGUCCGGAAACGGGCGCUAAUACCGCAUACGUCCUGAGGGAGAAAGUGGGGGAUCUUCGGACCUCACGCUAUCAGAUGAGCCUAGGUCGGAUUAGCUAGUUGGUGGGGUAAAGGCCUACCAAGGCGACGAUCCGUAACUGGUCUGAGAGGAUGAUCAGUCACACUGGAACUGAGACACGGUCCAGACUCCUACGGGAGGCAGCAGUGGGGAAUAUUGGACAAUGGGCGAAAGCCUGAUCCAGCCAUGCCGCGUGUGUGAAGAAGGUCUUCGGAUUGUAAAGCACCUUAAGUUGGGGGGAAGGGCAGUAAGUUAAUACCUUGCUGUUUUGACGUUACCAACAGAAUAAGCACCGGCUAACUUCGUG